rnacentral:rRNA from 1 species
UACGGGGGGAGCAAGCGUUGUUCGGAUUUACUGGGCGUAAAGGGCGCGUAGGCGGUCAGCACAAGUCAGUUGUGAAAUCUCCGGGCUUAACUCGGAAAGGUCAACUGAUACUGUGCGACUAGAGUGCGGAAGGGGCAACUGGAAUUCUCGGUGUAGCGGUGAAAUUCGUAGAUAUUGGGAAGAACACCGGUGGCGAAGGCGGCUCUCUGGACCGAUACUGACGCUGAGGCGCGAAAGCGUGGGGAGCAAACAGG